AUUUCUGUUUCUCUUUUCUCUUCCUUCCCUUCCUCUCUCCCUUCUCUUCCCUCUCUCCUCCUCUCCCUCCCUCCCUCUCUCCUUCCCUUCCUCCCUCCCUAUCUUCCUUCUUUCCUUCCUACCAUGAUGUCUAAAUGUUUUGUUUUUGUUGCUUUUACAGUUGUUUAAAGAAAACAAACACAAUGAAAAGACCACUGACAUGUCAGCGUGCAUGGGCCACACUGCUAAAUGAAGAACUACAGGCAUCUAGUGUUUGCUGAAUGAACAUUUUACACAAGUCACCGUGGUAAACCAAGAUAUAGCAAAUAAAACAGCAGCCUGUCCUUUCA
rnacentral:lncRNA from 1 species